CUACUGACUUCCUGAUGGUUGUUGCCUACUGUGGUCCUUUUGAAGUUCCCUGAUUCACUGUGUCCCUACCCAUGGAAUGAAGUCUGCAGCCCACCAUUACAGCCCACGUUCUGAAACAACCUCCCACUGAGCUCUGUGAUCUCCAGCCACACAGAGCUGCUUGCUGGUCCCUCCAUCUAGGGCCUGUGUUCCCAUGAAAAUGGUUGCUGAAACUGAGUGAUAAGCACAAAUUAUAGUAGCCAAAGAGAGCUUUACCUUAGUAGUUGAUUUUAAAAUAG
rnacentral:lncRNA from 1 species